rnacentral:lncRNA from 1 species
GCGGGCAGAGCUGCGGGGGUCCGAGUUCCACAGCUUCCAGCUCUGGGGAAGGGGAGGAGAGGGGCCUUCACCUCUACGGCUGACCCCCUUCCCUGAGGGUCGCCGGGGAGAGGAGGAGAAGAGACAGAGGGAGAGUGAAAGAGGGCAGAGAGGGAGAGAAGCAGGACGGGAGAGGGAAGGGGAAAUGAGGGAGAGAGAGGGAGGAGGAAGCGAAAGAAAAGGGGACGGGAGGAGGGGCGAGGGGUUGGGAGAGCGGGAGGUUGGGACGCAGCGGGGAGGAGGCGAAGGCCUGGUAACAGUUGAUCGGCGGAUUCCACUUACUGUGACUAUCCAGUCUCCUCUAGGCCUUUGGACAUCUGAAAGGCAGUGUUAAGAGCCCAACUCUGGAGAUGGACUUUGGCUCCACCACCAAGUAUUAAUAGCUCUGUGACUUGGGGCAAGUUACUUAACCUCCCUACACCACAGUUUCCACUGCUGUAAAUUGGGGAUGAUGAUAAUAACAGCCACCUCACAAGGUUGCCUGGAGAUUUGAUUAAAUGAAAUAAUUAGCAUGGAGUUUAUCUAGUCUUACCUGUCAGAGUCAAGAGCCUUCUUUCUCCUAAGCUGACCUUAGUAUCUCCCCCUGUCCGCCCCCUUUACUUUGGAUCCUAACUCAUAAAACGGGAUUGCUUGACAGUAUGUUUUCUUUGUGUACAGAUAGCUUGUUUCUUCAACCUACAUUUUAAGUUCUUUCAACAGUCACUUUUAUUUCUAUGCACACUUAAAGGCACCAACUUAGUGCAUUGCACACAACUUGUGUUCAAUAAAUUUUUGUUGAUUGAAUGAUAAAUAAAACCUCAGUGAUACCUAGAAAGAGAUUUUUCUAGAAAAUUUGAAGGUAUAGAAAAGAAAAACUCUUCAUAGGGCAGGAUGAGUAGAAUAAAACUUGAGAUAUGAAGUCAACUUUGUUAGUUUAGAACCAUAAAAAUGUAUCAUGUAGAGUAAUCUCAACUAUGUAAAGAAAACUGCAAAACAAAACUGGAAGUAAACAUGCCAGAUUUUAUAGUUGAUGUCUUAGUGUAGGAGGAGUAUGAGUGAUUUUUUUCCCCUCCUGUUUUAUACUUUUUAGUCCUUUCCAGCUUUUCCAUGGUCAAUAUGUGUUUCUGAGUUGCUCAGGAAAAGUACUUCUAUUAUCCAUAUAAUUUAGCCAAUCAAAAUGAUCACAUUUUGGAUAUUUAGAGAUGUGAUGACCUUGGAGGAAAAAAAAAAUCAUGAGAACAAAACAAUUGCGUUCCUCUAAGUUUUCCUUCAUUUUUUUUCCCCAGAGCAGCCACCCUUUACUGAUUUGUGCCAGAAAAUCAAUUUGUCAGUUUGAAGUGUAGAGAUAUUUCCUUUUCAGGGACCAGAAUAUUUGUCUUUCCUAUCUAGGGGACUUCCUUUGAAGUGUCAAGAUUCCAGGCAGGGAAUCAGCAUUGUAGAAGGGUCUUGGACUAAAUUCAGAGCCAAGGCAAAGUGAGGCAAAUUAUCUUAAUGAUUAUUUCAACUAGCUUAGUGAACUUUCACCUUUUCAGUGAUUUAUUUUAUUUAUUUAUUUUUUUUAGACAGGGACUUGCUCUGUGCAGGCUAGAAUGCAGUGGUGCAAUCAUAGCUCACUGAAGCCUUGAACCUCUGGGCUCAAACGAUCCUCCUGCCCCAGCUUCCCAAGUAGCUGGGACUACAGGCAUGCAUUACCAUGCCCAGCUAAUAUUUUAAAUUUUUGGUAGAGAUGGGGUCUUGCCCAGGGUGGCCUUGAACUCCUGGCCUCAAGCAAUCCUCCUGCCUUGGCCUCCCAAAGCUCUGGGAUUACCGACAUGAGCCACCGUGCUGGCCUCCUGUGAUUUCUUUCUUUAUUUAUUUACUAUUAUUUUUAUUUUUUUCUUUCAAGGCUUUAGGAUGUACCAGUGAUCUUCUGUUUAUAUUACUGUAACAUAAAAAAAACACACACAACAACUUACAAAGUUAUAAUUCACUCAACUGGAGUUACCUUCCACUUUUACUGAAAAUUAGGACAACACUUCAAUUUAUCUGUGCAUAGAGUCAUUCAUUCAACAAAAAUUUACUAAGUGCCAGGCCAUGUGCUGAUGCUGGAAAUGAGAAAUAAGACCUGGUCCUUAUCUUUCAGAAGUUUAGGGUCUAGUUGAUGAACACUCAUAUACAAACAGUGAUAUGUAGAAAAUUGUCUCAAGGGCUUCGGUAGAUCCAGGUAGACAGACUUACAGCAGCUAGUGGGACAAAAAUGAGAAGCCAGUUCUAGUUGGGCAGGGAGACAGCAAAGAGGAGGGAGCAGAAAAGAACUUCAGAGACAACCAGUUAUCUGGGCUGAUUAUGAAUCUUUAGCUUAUAAGUGGGUAGUAUUUCCUGACGUGAGGCUAUUGUUUUUUUUUGUACUUUGUCGUAAUCAUGUUGUCUUACAUACUGUCUAUCUGAUUACUUUCUCUGCUACAUUAAGGAUAUGCUUCAUGAUUCUUUCCAUCAUUGAGAAAUGCAAUGAGUUUAUAACAUUUAAAUCCUAUUCCAUCAUAGUCUAAGAACUGACCAAAUUUUAAAAAUAUAUCAAUCAUUUUAUCAGGUAACAUUGAAAUUUGUAAAAUACAAAAACCCUAAACUUUUUACUUUUACUUAAAGUGUAUAAUUGUACAUUCAUUCCUCAAUGAUUAGAUGUUGGGCUCAGUGUUGGAAUCCUCUGAUUGAAAUUACUCAUUGUUUUUCUUGCAUUAACCCUGCCUGUGAUACACUGGGUUUAUGGUUUCCAGCCUUUGUUUUUCUAUAGAGAAGAGUGAGCUUAGACACUUAACAAACAAUAUGAGUGUGGAGUCUUUUAGGCUUUACACUUUCUUUUCCUAAUCUUUUAGUUUUUUAGCCCAUAACUAAUUUG